UAUCUUCUUCUUUUUUGUUUGU
rnacentral:sRNA from 1 species